rnacentral:lncRNA from 1 species
AGCAAUCUUACUCUCAAACAUUUCUUCUGAUUCUCGCCGUUCAAAGUAUGAUCUUAAACACACGGGUUCACAAGACAAUUGUUACAAUUCAGUCCUACAAAAAGAAGAUGAAACAGACAAAAUCAGAGGCAUAGCACUUUCGAAAGACUUGAUGAGUUCAGCAGGUUUAGCACUUAAAGAAAACAUUACGACACUUGGAAAAUAUGUUUUGCCUUUACUAGAACAAUUAAAGUUUGCUACAUCUUUUGUUGUUAAAAAGUACAUAAACAAGAAUAUGAAGGUUUAUACACCUGAUUUUAAGUUGUGUUUUGAGCACUUUUGUAUUCAUACUGGUGGAAAAGCUGUUCAAGAUGAGAUGCAAAAAGUGCUUGGAUUAAGUGAUUGGCAAAUUGAGCCUUCAAGGAUGACACUUUAUAGAUUUGGUAAUACUUCAAGUAGUUCUGUUUGGUAUGCUUUGGCUUAUUGUGAAGCCAAGGGAAGAAUAAGAAAAGGUGACAGGAUUUGGCAAGUUGCAUUUGGUUCUGGAUUUAAGUGUAAUACUACUGUUUGGUGUGCAUUAAGGAAUGUUGAUCCAAUUAAGGAUAUUAAUCCUUGGAGUGAUGAGGUUCAUGAAUUUCCUGUUGAUGAUUGAAAUUGAAGUGGGGAUUUUGUAUAAUGUAAGUUGCAGUAUCUUAAUAUCUAUCUUUCUAUCAAUUUUUUUUAAUCAAAUAAAUGCUAAUAUAUAUAAACUAGAAUAUGUACAUCUGGGGGAUAUCUUUCUAUCGAAUCAAAUUUGUCCAACUUUGUAUGUUACAUCACAAUAUAAAUAAUGAAUAUAUAUGUAUGUGUGUUUAUCCCAUUACCAAUGAGCUCUUAGUUAUCCUAUUCUAAGGGUUAAAAAAAAAAAUUGAAUUGGCUAAAUGAAUAUGUAAGACUUUAAACCCGAGCAUAAGACAUACCAGGAUCGGCAAAUCUGCCUACAUCAGGCCCCAAGGGAAAUGCAUAAACCAUCCAUGCUUUGACAGCAAAACCACACAAAAACUAACUAAAAGCCAGGCUGAAAACAAAAACACCAGAGUGAAACAGAAAAGGAAGAGCUUGAUGGAGGAAACUUAGCAGGCCACACAAAAAAAGCAGCCCCAGCCCUACCUCUUGACCCAACAGAAGACCCUGCUGACCGCCUCUGCAGCUGCAGCGACCUGGCGGAAACAAUUGAAGCUACAGAAUCGUAAGACAAAAAAAUUGAAGAACAAUCUGCCUAGGCCGCUUGAGCCACAACUGCAAAUAUAGUUAACUAUUACUCUAUUAUCUACCUAAAUGUGUUAUCUUUAACCUGUCACUAAAGCAUUCAGCUCAGAACAAAUAAGAGGUUUCAUAAAGACAUAAGUUGCCAACAAAAUGUUACAAUUGAAGUAAUGGGGGUGAAGAAAUCAAUAUGAUAAAAAAUAUAUAUAUUUUAUUCAUUAAAUUGAUAAUAGAGAAAAAUCAACAACGGAGUCAUUUGAAUAGUAUAAAAUUCUAUAGUGUAAACAAACAAGUAUGUUGCAGAUUAUCACUAAGAUUGAUGAACAAGAACACCAAUAUUUUUGUGUGAAGAAAGAAAAUUCCCUUCAUCAUUGAUACCGGCAUAUUCAUCUUUGAAGUAUCGUUUUAUGGUUGUCUAGCUCUUGUUGAUCUUCUCACUUGCGAUUCUUGCUUGUAUAGAAUUGUGUACUAGGAUGGUUUUUGCCAUCUUAGAUUGAAUGUCAAGAACGAACGCCACAUCUCUGCUUUGAACAACCUUAUUCUUUGCAGGAACCCUCGAAACCCAAGUUCAUCUUUUUGGUGAACCAAAGUAUAUGCACUCUUUUGACUUAGUAUCAAGCUUUAAUCUUUCAUCUCUUGAAAUAUGUACUUUCUCAUAUAAUUUCAUGGAAUUCAAUAAUCUCCAAAUGACCUAUGGACUACCCACCAUUUUCAGUUCUCAAACAUUUCAGCUUGUUUCCAUAUGCUUAUUCAACAGAAGCAAGGAACACUUUGAAAACUUUAAGAACUUGAUCUUUUGUCUUCAAUGGAUACACUCUAUUAGAGAUAAGCUAGCCUAGUUAGUUAUAAGUAUAACUGACAGCUUUCAGUAUUAGUCUAGCAUGUAACCUGCUACUGCAGGUUACCUGAUUGCUACUAUAAAUGCAUCAAUUGUAAUAUUGAGAUCAAUCAAUGAAAGUCACAAAAGUUAGUUUACAAAUAGAAUUAUGAAUAGUGUAAGUAUAGCUUUCUAACAUGGUAUCAGAUUGCUAACACGACCUCCGGCCAUGGCGUCUUCAUCAGCGGUGUCGCCGCCGACUUCCGCUCCUGCAUCAACUACGUCGGUACCUGUAGCUUCGUCCGUCAAUGACGAUCUGCGUCGUCUCAAUUUCGCCCUCAAAAUCGCUCACAAGCUCGAUGAAAAGAACUUUCAUCUAUGGCGUCAACAAGUUGAGUCUUACAUCAACGCACGCAACCUCACUGAAUUCGUAGUAUGUGCGCAAAUUCCUCCGCAAUUCCUUAAUGAUGCGGACUGUAACUCCGGUACGAUCAACCCUGCGUAUUCGGUUUGGCUUCAGAAAGAUCAAAUGUUAUUGUCCCGGCUUCAAUCUACUCUAUCCAGCGAGAUUCGCAUCAGUUAUGGGAUCGCUUAUUCAACUAUUUCCAAAAACAAACUCGUGCUCGAGCUCGUCAGUUGAGAGUGGAGUUAUGCGCCAUUAUCCUGGAUAAAUCAUCAAUUCAAGACUAUCUAUCUCUUCAAGAUUCGCACUAUUAUUGACCCUAGCUUCGAUUGGUGAUUUUAUUCCUCCUUCACAUCACAUUGAUGUGAUUCUUGAAGGCUUACCUGAUGAUUAUGCAUCAAUUGUGUAUGUUGUUGAAAUCAAAUUUGGAGUUAUGGAUAUUGAUGAGGUUCAAAUCUUACAAGUUGCUCAUGAACCUUUAGUUCAAGAAACCUUUAGUUCCUGACCUAGCCUCUCUCAAUCUCACUCACAUUGUACCUUCUCAUCUACCUCAGGAUGAGGCUGCAACUGCUAGUUCAGAUUCCUCUCCUUCCCUAAUGGCAACACCUAACACUGACAAUGAUUAUCAAGCUCUUCGUGGUAGUUAUGGCAGAGGAAGAGGCCGACCUGGCAGAGGCAGAGAAGGUAGAUUCUCUAACUCUACCCUGCAAUGUCAAGUUUGCUCUAAAUUUGGUCAUUCUGCUUUACAAUGCUGGCAUGUUUUCAAUCAAAACUUUCAGUCUUCUUCAUUCAAUGGCAACAACUCAUUUGGUGCUCCUCAGCAACCUUGGCAUAAUUACUCUUAUGGCAACAAUGUUUGGAACAGACAAGACUUCUCUCAUGAGGCCUUCACCUCCCUUUCAAGCUCCUCCAAGCACCUUCAUUGCCAACACCUUGCCCUCUACUUCUACCUUCUGGUUUCCUGACUCAAGAGCCUCCUUUCAUGUGACUCGUGAAGCCAAAAACAUUCAGUAGGCCGCACCUUUUAAAGGUCCUGUCAAAUUUCCAUUGGCAAUGGCCAAGGUUUGCGUAUCUCCUCUAUUGGCUCUAGUUCUUUUCCUUUCCUAUUCACCCUCACACGCAACUUACACUUAACAAUCUUCUACUUGUACCUUCUAUAGCUAAAAAGCUAAUCAGUGUCAGUCAGUUUUCAAUGGAUAAUCAUGUUUAUUUUUCGUUUUCUGUUGAUAAGUGUCUUGUUAAAUCACAAAAACUGAUGUCACUCUUCUUGAAGGUCAUGUUGGAACUUAUGGGCUUUAUGAGUUUCCUUCUAUAGCAUUAUCUCCUCCUACAAAGUCUUCCACUAUAUCUAUGUCUGGUUUGCUUUUCAAUAACAAUGUGCCUAGUAUUAAUUCUACUUGUAUAGGAUCUAAGCUGUCUAGUGUGUGGCACCUUAGACUAGGUCAUCCUAGUUUGAAUUCCCUAAGACUUAUUCUAAAAACUUGUAAUAUUCCAUUUCGUUCUAAAGACAAUAAUAUAUUUUGUACUGCAUGUUGCAUGGGCAAAACUCACAUGUUACCGUUCGCUUCACACAUCACACACUCUACACCCUUAGAAUUAAUAUAUUGUGAUUUAGGGAGACCUUCUGUCGCACCUCGAAAAAAUGGGGAUACGACUUCAAAGCGAAGCGCGAUCGCACGCUCGCAAUGAUGGACUGAACAGAGUCGCCACCGAACUUUAUUUAUUCCUAAAAAGGAAAGGGGAAAUAAAUAUCGAUAAAACCAGACAAAUGAAAGGAUAAGAUAUGGUCAUCGCAACCAAUAUCAGGGUUCGGGAGUCGAUUACGCAAGGGGAAGGUAUUAGCACCCCUCACGUCCGUUGUACUCACGGAACCAUUAGGUCAGUUGUGUGCGUUAAUGUUAGUUUGAAAUGAUAGGCUUUUCAAAGUAUUGGUGGGAAAGAAGAAUAUAAGAGAGAAGAAAUGUUUUUGGUUUUUGACGAGGACUAAACCUAAGUUUUUUUAUAAUGGCCUGACAGAUUUACAAAUCCUGCUCCACCGUAUCUCAAAAGAGAAUCAAGGCUUACGUAGUUCUGGUAGAAAAUGUUUGUUUGUUGGUCGAUUUUAGCGAAGCUAUACUGUAUUAUCGACGAAAACAUUGUUUACCAAAACAGAUGAGAGUGGACGCAUACCACAACAUCGAACGAUUUAUAAAUCUACAUUCGGAAAAAGCGUCGUUUAUCUCUACUCAACAAUCGUGGCCGAAACAUUGCUUUGUAUCACUUAAGACAAUAUUCUUUCAUUAUGAAAAAGGUUUUUGAUUAAUCGCACGGCGCGAGAAAAAAGUUUGAUUGGUUUGGAUGUAUUUGAGUGAUGGCGAGAACUUGGAUGAGCGAGAUAUACAUCUCGAAUACUAGUCUCAGGAGUGCAUGGUAUACACCAUGUUCCAUUUCCAUCUUAUUGAAAAAGGUUAAGAUAGGAAUUAAGUAUUUGGAAUUUGAAAGACGAGUACUUGUGACUUACAAGCUCUUACAGCUGGGUCUAAUACUCGGGACUACGUCUGGACAUUCCACCAGACAGUCUGUUUCUUUCCAAUAUUGCUACGAAAAUGAUUCGGAUAUUUAUGAAUGUUUUGGAGGGAAGACGAAUAUUUAUGGCUUGCAAGCUCUUACAGCUUGAGCCUAAUAUUCGGGAUUACGACUGAUAUUCCCUCCAGGUAAUCUUUUUCUUCACAUUUUACUUGGAAAAUGUUUGAAUAUUUGUGUGUUAAAGAGAGACGAUAUUUUACGGCUUACAAGCUCUUACAAUUUGACCUAAUAUUCGGGAUUACGACUGGAUAUUCCUCCAGGUAAUCUUUUCUUCACGUUUAUUUAGAAACGAUUUGAAUAUUAGAGGGGUGGAAGUGAAGACGAUAUUUAUGACUGGCAGCUCUUACAGCUUGAGCCUAAUAUUCGGAUUACGACUGGACAUUCCAUCCAGGUAAUCUUUUUCUUCACGUUUUAUUUAGAAAAUGGUUAGAUACUCAGGGUAAUGGAAUGGACAAGUGAAUGCGAGCAUGCAAAAAGAAAAAGAGCUCAUUGUAGAAGGCCAAGAGUAAGCGACAGGACUGAAUGCCAACUGAAACCGAGAGCAACUGAAUUUAACUCCAAGCUAACUUGAGUGAUUUAUGUAUGAAUCACUCUAUAAGAAGUCGAGCAAACAUCUAUGCGUCCAGACAAUUUUUGGAAGUUAAAUUGAAUUGAACUCCGAAAUACGACGCAAUAAUACACCAAACAGCAGCAACCAAAGAUGUUAUUAUUACAGUAGUGUCACAAUUUUUUUACAUACACCAAAGUAAUCGAAAAAUAGAAAGCUACACGAACACAUGAUAUAAUGAAUUUGUAUUGCUUACAAAAUUGACAUAAAGCAAAAAUAAAAAAAAUCAAAAUAGUAUAGUAUAUAUAUAUAAUAUAUUAUAUAUAUAUAAUAUAUAUAUAUAAUAUAAAUAUAUAUAUAUAUAUAUAAUAUAUAUAUAUAUAUAUAUAUAUUAUAUAUAUAUAUAAUAUAUAUAUAUAUAUAUAUAUAUAAUAUAUAUAUAUAUAUAAUAUAAUAUAUAUAUAUAUAUAUAUAUAUAUAUANNNNNNNNNNNNNNNNNNNNNNNNNNNNNNNNNNNNNNNNNNNNNNNNNNNNNNNNNNNNNNNNNNNNNNNNNNNNNNNNNNNNNNNNNNNNNNNNNNNNNNNNNNNNNNNNNNNNNNNNNNNNNNNNNNGCAAGCUCUUACAGCUUGAGCCUAAUAUUCGGGAUUACGACUGGACAUUCCAUCCAGGUAACCUUUUUCUUCCAACUUUUAUUUAGAAAAUGAUUUUGAAUAUUAGAGGGUGGAAGUGAAGACGAAUAUUUAUGACUGGCAAGCUCUUACAGCUUGAGCCUAAUAUUCGGGAUUACGACUGGACAUUCCAUCCAGGUAAUCUUUUUCUUCGCGUUUUAUUUAGAAAAUGAUUUGAAUAUUAAAUUAAAACAAAUAAGGUACCGAGGUUUGAAAUUAUUGAAAGUUAAGUUCAUUGUAAGAAGGCCCAAGAGUAAGCCACAGGACUGAAUGCCAACUGAAACCGAGAGCAACUGAAUUUAGCUCCAAGCUAACUUAGAGUGGAUUUAUGUAUGAAUCACUCUAUAAGAAGUCGAGCAACAAUCUAUGCGUCCAGACAAUUUUCGGAAGUUAAAUUGAAUUUGAACUCCGAAAUUACGACGCAAUAAUACACCAAACAGCAGCAACCAAAGAUGUUAUUAUUACAGUAGUGUCACAAUUUUUUACAUACACUCAAAGUAAUCGAAAAAUAGAAAGCUAACACGACACAUGAUAUAAUGAAUUUGUAUUGCUACAAAAUUGACAUAAAGCAAAAAUAAAAUAAAUAUCAAAAUAGUAUAUAUAUAUAUAUAUAUAUAUAUAUAUAUGAAAAACUUAUAGCUACUGUGUAUAUAUACAGAAAAUUGAAAGUAACGUAUAUACAUUUAGAAAUUGAAAAAUUAAAAAAUUGAAACUAAAUAAAAAAUAUAUAUUUAUAUAUACUGGACCUAAAAACAUACAUGUUAUAAAAAUUGCAAACUAGAAAAGAAAGAUAUAUACAUUUAUAUAUACCAAACUUAAAAACACAUAUAUUAUAUAACUUAUUAACUAAUAUAUAUAUAUAUAUAUAUAUAUAUAUAACCAAAACUUGAAACUGAAACUUGAAAGUAGAAACAUAUAUAUGUUAUAUAACUUGAAACUGAAACUUAAUAUAUAUAUAACCAAAACCAGCAUGUACAUAUUAAAAUAAUACAGUGCAAAAUUAGUAUAUAUAGAAAAAUGAAAUGCAGCAAACAAUAUACAUAUAUGUAUAUACAUGAGAAUCAACACAGAAUAUGAGAAUUAAUACAGAAAGUAUCUACACGUAACAUAAACGAAAACGACAUACGUGAUGCAAUAUCACAUGAUUCAAAACAUAAAAUAACAGUAGCAACAUAUAUACAGCAGAAUUGAAAUAGAACACAUCUGAAAACAUAACAUCUUUCAAGUCAAAACAUUACCGGAUGCCAAGUGACAAUGUUGUGUGAUACCAGUGUGGAAUCCUUGAACCGUGACGGGAGGAUAUGCUCAUAUCGAGGUUGUUUGUGUGUGUUCGUCGCGAUGAAUCGAGAACAUAAACAUUGGUGAUGAGGGAGAUUCGAUUUUUGUUUGGUUCAGUGGCUUGUUGCUGUAGCGUUUGGAAGGGAGUAUGGUGUAGAUCAUAAACUCGUCGGUGGUAAGGGUGUUGCUAUGGUGAAAGAGAAAUUAGUAGUAGAGGUUAUGGAGGAUCUUACAUGAAAAAGGGAGCAACUUGUUAUGUUGGUGGUUCAUGAAAGUUUUUGUUGCUUUUUGUGAGAUGUAGUUUUAGGAAGAAGAUGGAGAUUUCGGGGUUGAACGAAGGAAGUGUGAUAAAGUUAGUGUUCAGUGAAGGAGAAUAGUGAAUGUUUAUGGUUCUUACAUGGAAGAAGAAUGUGGAGUUGGGAAGAUUUUUGUUUGUGAGUUUUUUAUGAACAUGAAGGUUAGUGUAUGGAUGAGGUGGAAGAGAGUGAGAGGUUUUUAGAGGUGAGUGAAAAGUUAUCGGUUUGGUUGUGUAGAAUUUUUUUGUAUAUAGAGUCUUUUUAAGAUCAUGUGUAUAUGCCUAGUGAGAGAAGGCGUGAAGAAGUGUGUAGAGGACAAGGUGAUGUAGCUACUACUACUAGAAAGAAAAGAAAAUAUUUUUUACGUGAGAGAGAAAAGAUACCAUAUUCAUGCUAACAUUGUUUUUUUCUCUUUUUUUCACUCUGACCAAAAACCAUAUUGAAAAAGGUUGUCUCAAUGAUACCUUAGUUUUUUUGUAAAUUAAUUUUGAACAUCCACAAAUGGCCUUGCAGAGCUUAAAAAAUGAGUUUUAAUUUUUGAGUCAAAAUAAA